GUGGAGCCGACCUUGAAAUACCACCCUUUAAUGUUUGAUGUUCUAACGUGGACCCGUGAUCCGGGUUGCGGACAGUGUCUGGUGGGUAGUUUGACUGGGGCGGUCUCCUCCUAAAGAGUAACGGAGGAGCACGAAGGUUGGCUAAUCCUGGUCGGACAUCAGGAGGUUAGUGCAAUGGCAUAAGCCAGCUUGACUGCGAGCGUGACGGCGCGAGCAGGUGCGAAAGCAGGUCAUAGUGAUCCGGUGGUUCUGAAUGGAAGGGCCAUCGCUCAACGGAUAAAAGGUACUCCGGGGAUAACAGGCUGAUACCGCCCAAGAGUUCAUAUCGACGGCGGUGUUUGGCACCUCGAUGUCGGCUCAUCACAUCCUGGGGCUGAAGUAGGUCCCAAGGGUAUGGCUGUUCGCCAUUUAAAGUGGUACGCGAGCUGGGUUUAGAACGUCGUGAGACAGUUCGGUCCCUAUCUGCCGUGGGCGCUGGAGAACUGAGGGGGGCUGCUCCUAGUACGAGAGGACCGGAGUGGACGCAUCACUGGUGUUCGGGUUGUCAUGCCAAUGGCACUGCCCGGUAGCUAAAUGCGGAAGAGAUAAGUGCUGAAAGCAUCUAAGCACGAAACUUGCCCCGA
rnacentral:rRNA from 1 species